GACGAACGCUGGCGGCGUGCCUAAUACAUGCAAGUCGAACGGAAAGGCCCUGCUUUUGUCGGGUGCUCGAGUGGCGAACGGGUGAGUAACACGUGGGUAACCUGCCCUUGACUUUGGGAUAACUUCAGGAAACUGGGGCUAAUACCGGAUAGGAGUACCUGCUGCAUGGCGUGGGUUGGAAAGUUUCGGCGGUUGGGGAUGGACUCGCGGCUUAUCAGCUUGUUGGUGGGGUAGUGGCUUACCAAGGCUUUGACGGGUAGCCGGCCUGAGAGGGUGACCGGCCACAUUGGGACUGAGGUACGGGCCAGACUGCUUCGGGAGGCAGCGGUGGGGAAUAUUGCACAAUGGGCGGAAGCCUGAUGCAGCAACGCCGCGUGCGGGAUGACGGCCUUCGGGUUGUAAACCGCGUUCGCCUGUGACGAAGCGUGAGUGACGGUAAUGGGUAAAGAAGCACCGGCUAACUACGUG
rnacentral:rRNA from 1 species